rnacentral:lncRNA from 1 species
GGGCAGAGAGGAAACUUUUUUUUUUUUGACAAGUUUUGCUAUGUCGCCCACGCUGAAAUGCAGUGGCAUGAUCAGGGCUCACUGCAGCCUCAAAUUCCCAGACUCAAGCAAUUCUCCCACCUCAGCCUCCCAGUCACUGGGAUUACAGAUGCACACCACCAUGCCCAGCUAAUUUUUUUGUUUUUUGUAGAGAUGAGAUCGCACUAUGUUGCCCAUGCUGGUCUCGAGCUCCUGGACUCAAGCAAUCCUCCCACCUCCUCCUCCCAAAGUACUGGGAUUACAGGCGUGAGCCACCACAUCCAGCCAGGAACCUUUAGCAUGUGUUAAAUUUAGCAUUUAACACAAUAUUUUAACAUUUAUUACAUGGGGUUGGGGAGAAGAUAAAUGAGUGGUUGUUAUUUAUUUUCUGUGAUUUUUCUGUAUGUUUGAAAUAUCCCAUGAUUAAACAUAAAAUUUCCUUUAAAAUGUGAAAAAGGAGUCCCAGAUUCCAGGAAGGAGGCUGGGGCAGUAGGG